AACGUAGGGGGCAAGCGUUGUCCGGAAUCAUUGGGCGUAAAGAGCGUGUAGGCGGCCAGAUAAGUCCGCCGUGAAAUCUCGAGGCUCAACUUCGAGCUGUCGGUGGAAACUGUCUGGCUAGAGUCCGGAAGAGGAGAAUGGAAUUCCUGGUGUAGCGGUGAAAUGCGCAGAUAUCAGGAAGAACACCCGUGGCGAAGGCGGUUCUCUGGGACGGUACUGACGCUGAGACGCGAAAGCGUGGGGAGCGAACAGG
rnacentral:rRNA from 1 species